rnacentral:rRNA from 1 species
ACUCAAAGGAAUUGACGGGGACUCGCACAAGCAGUGGAGCAUGUGGUUUAAUCCGAAGCAACGCGUAGAACCUUACCAAGGCUUGACAUUGGGGGACAAAGUUGUCGAAAGGCAAUCGAGGAUGAACCCGACAGGUGCUGCAUGGCCGUCGUCAGUUCGUGCCGUGAGGUGUAUGGUUAAGUCCUAUAACGAACGCAACCCUUAGGCUUAGUUGCCAGCGGGUCAAGCCGGGAACUCUAAGCCGACUGCCUAAGUAAUUAGGAGGAAGGAAAGGAUGACGUCUGGUCGUCAUGGUCCUUAUGCCUUGGGCGACACACGUGCUACAAUGGCUAAUACAAAGGGACGCCAACCCGCGAGGGGGAGCCAAUCUCAAAAAAUUAGCCUCAGUUCGGAUUGGAGGCUGCAACUCGCCUCCAUGAAGUUGGAAUUGCUAGUAAUCGCAAAUCAGCCAUGUUGCGGUGAAUACGUUCUCGAGUCUUGUACACACCGCCCGU